GACGAACGCUGGCGGCGUGCUUAACACAUGCAAGUCGAACGGAAAGGCCCGGCUUUUGUUGCUUGCUCGAUUGGCGAACAGGUGAGUAACACGUGAGUAACCUGCCCCUGACUGUGUGAUAACUCCAGGAAACUCGGGCGCAUACCGCGUAGGAUCUCCUGCUGCAUGGUGUUGGAUGGUAAGUUUCGGCUGUGGUGGCUAGUCUCGCGGGUUAUCAGCUGCUUGGUGAGGUAGUGGCGUACCAAGGCUUUGACGGAUAGCCGGCCUGAGAGGUUUAACGGCGACCAUGGGACUACGAGACGGAGCAGACUGCUACGGGACGCAGCAGUGGGGAAUCUUGCACAGUGGGCGGAAGCCUGAUGCAGCAGCGCCGCGUGCGGGAUGACGGCCUUCGAGUUGUAAACAGCUUUCGAAUGUGACGAAGAGUGCUUGACGGUAAUGGGUCAGGAAGCACCGGCUAACUACGUG
rnacentral:rRNA from 1 species